AAAUCAAAGUAUCUCUACCUUAAUCAAAUUUAUAAAAGAAGUAUCAAAAUUUAAAAUGCCAAAUUAACAUUGUUAGAUUCAUUAUGAAAUGUAGUUUCAUGGUACAGAUAUUGAUACUGCAGGUGUCGAUAUUUUUAAAUGUAAAUUAGCUCAAAUCAUAUAAAGUUUGACUUGACAUAAAUCUAAUACGUGAAAUAAAAAAGAUGAGAAGGAGUACAGCUUUUUCGUUUGGAUAUGAUGGUACGUGUUCCGAAAAGAUGGUGAUGGUACACUGCAACGGGGUAUCUUCCUCCACGACGGGACAUGGAUGUGGUUGAAUUAAUGGUCGAGAGAUACCGAUCCCGAGCUAUCGCGUACACAGAAAGGACACUGUAUUGCGAGAACGGCGUCGCAGAGACCGGGAUCCAAUGUGCCCGGUAUACUAAAAAAAAUUAGUAUAUACUUGAAAGCUUCAAAACAUACUAAAUUUCUUAUACAACUACAUAUACAUGGUAGUCAGGUAUGUAAAAAAAUUCACUACAUGGUGUCUUCAGCGUACCAACAAAUUGGGCGUAUCUUCUACAUGUCGGAACACGUAUAUAGCGCCAUGUGAAUAUAAAUUAGUUAAAGACGGACGGAUUAGUAAAGGGAGAUGCAUGAAGUAAAGAUACUAUCUUAUUAGUCAACAAUUAAUCUACCAUGAAAGGUAUGUGCAUGUUUUGGCAUUAUCGACGACCUAUAUGUAUCACCAUGAUUAAAUCAGAAGUGUCAUGCAUAUACGUUGAAAGUGUCUCAUCUGCAAGUGAACUUAUUGUACCCUUAAUGUUUCUAGACAUAAUGAGCAUUAUAAAUCUGAACCAAUGAUUGACUCCAUGAACUCAUAUCAGUAGAAGAACUUAUGCCUUCUUUGAUUCAACCUUUGACGGGUCGGGGCGCGUCAUGUGCCGCCGGUUAUCAAUUGAGUGCGCUGCCUCAUGCACAUCAACCUAGAAGAAAGCAAUCACUGUCAACUGCAUGUACGUAUGUUCAUAGAAAGAAUCAAUCAACCUGUCGGUGAUCAAUUGACUGUGUUGCCUCAUGCACAUCCACCUAGAAGAAUGCAAUCACUGUUAAUUGCAUAUACGUAUGUUCAUGGAAGGAAUCAAUGAAUCUGCUUACCCAUUGUAUGUAUUUGUUUCCCUCGCCCGAGAACAAUUGCAGCAAGUAGUCCAUGCA
rnacentral:lncRNA from 1 species